GUCGUAUAUAGAUGUAUUAGUCGCAAGUCAGACUAGCAUUUCCCUUUACGACACAAUAAAAUUAGAAACUAUUUCCAAUAGUAUUAUUUGCUAAAGAGCAACUUUAGGUUGCUGAAAAUGAUUUAUGGGUAGUGGAAUAGGUUAACCGUAAGACCUUUGGUUGAAAAACUAUGAAAUUAAGCCUCAGAUAUUUUAUCUUUGGUUACGGGAAA
rnacentral:sRNA from 12 species